CUCUCACUUGCGGCUGUGGAAAGGGCGGAAAACACCCCAAAACCGCCCCCUUCCCACCAAAAACCGACCUCCCCAAAAAAUGAAAAGAAAUCGACUCUUACUUCUCUGCAUUCCCCAGCUCUGGGGAUUCUCUCCUCAAAUCCCUGCCGGACUCUCCUGAGCGCGUUUUGAGUGCAGACUGGCCUUUUUUGGUUAAAUCCUCUCUUUUUUUUUCCCUUUCCUCGGCUUUUUUCUCACUUUUUUUGCCUUUUUUCCCUGCGUUUUGCUGCUUCCCUGAAGGGGAAAAACACUCGAGACACCCCCUCCCCCUUUCCCCACCCCCCACCCAAAAAAAAAUAUACAAAACAUUUCUUUGAUCAUUUCUCUCCCUUUUUUUUGAUCACCGGCCCCUCCCGCACGACGCCUUUGGGAUAAAAAAAAAAGAAUUUGGACACUUACUGAGCGGCGCCGGCGGGAGCGGCGGAGCCGGAGGGCGCUGGAGGGAUUUGGGGGGUUUUCCCCAUUUCUGGGGAGUUUAAUAGAAAAAGGGGGAAGGGGGAGGGGCGACGGCGGCGGCGCCUGAAACGACAGAACCCCAAAACCCCCCAAAUCCCCCCAAAAUUCCCAAACCCCCGGGGGGGGGGGUGGGGCCUCACCCGGCCGCUGCCUCCGGCUCCUUUCGGGGCAUUUUCCUCAAAUUCCUCAAUUUUCCUGGCUCCGGGACCCAAAUCGGGAUUUUUCUUCCUUUUUCUCCCUUUAUCCUUCUUUUUUUCAUUAAUUUUCGCUUCUAUUUUCUCCUCUAAAUCCUCUUUGAUUUUCUCUCAUUUUUCCUCUCUUCUAUUCUCUUCUAUUUUCUCUCUUCUGUUUUUUCCCUGUUUUCUUUCACUUCCAUCUUCUCAAAUUUUCAGCACUUGGAUUU
rnacentral:lncRNA from 1 species